UACGUAGGGUGCAAGCGUUAAUCGGAAUUAUUGGGCGUAAAGAGCUCGUAGGCGGUUUGUUGCGUCGGCUGUGAAAUCCCGAGGCUCAACCUCGGGUCUGCAGUCGAUACGAGCAAACUAGAGUGUUGCAGGGGAGACUGGAAUUCCUGGUGUAGCGGUGAAAUGCGCGGAUAUCAGGAGGAACACCGGUGGCGAAGGCGGGUCUCUGGGCAACAACUGACGCUGAGGAGCGAAAGCGUGGGGAGCGAACAGG
rnacentral:rRNA from 1 species